rnacentral:rRNA from 1 species
UACGUAGGUCCCGAGCGUUGUCCGGAUUUAUUGGGCGUAAGGCGAGCGCAGGUGGUUUAUUAAGUCUGGUGUAAAAGGCAGUGGCUCAACCAUUGUAUGCAUUGGAAACUGGUAGACUUGAGUGCAGGAGAGGAGAGUGGAAUUCCAUGUGUAGCGGUGAAAUGCGUAGAUAUAUGGAGGAACACCGGUGGCGAAAGCGGCUCUCUGGCCUGUGACUGACACUGAGGCUCGAAAGCGUGGGGAGCAAACAGG